rnacentral:misc_RNA from 1 species
CCAAUAGCGUAUAUUAAAGUUGUUGCAGUUAAAAAGCUCGUAGUUGAACUUCGGGGUCUACCCAUUGGUCAGGCUUCAUUGUCUGCACUGGUGAGAUGGAUCUCUACCUUCUGAGGAACUUUCAUGCCAUUUAUUUGGUGUGGUUGGAAAUCAGGACUGUUACUUUGAAAAAAUUAGAGUGUUUAAAGCAGACUAUCGUCUGAAUCCAUUAGCAUGGAAUAAUGAAAUAGGACGGACUGAUUCUAUUUCGUUGGUUUCUAGGAUCACCGUAAUGAUUAAUAGGGAUAGUUGGGGGCAUUAGUAUUCAAUUGUCAGAGGUGAAAUUCUUGGAUUUAUUGAAGACGAACUACUGCGAAAGCAUGUGCCAAGGAUGUUUUCAUUAAUCAAGAACGAAAGUGAGGGGAUCGAAGACGAUCAGAUACCGUCGUAGUCUUAACCAUAAACUAUGCCGACUAGGGAUCGGACGAAGUUAAUUUUAUAAUGACGCGUUCGGCACCUUACG